UGGCAUCAGAGCUGGUUACGAUACCUCGGAGUUGAGUUUGUGCGAAAAAAUCAACGGAAAGUGAGUUUUCAAGUGAGUAAGGAGUUGCCUUUGUGAAACUUCACUUUGCGGCCAUUUUGAUCGCGAAACUAACACCGUCAUUUUGUCUGAGCGAAGAAAUCAACGGAAAGUGAGUUUUCAAGUGAGAGUAAGGAGUUGCUUUCUCAAAACUUCACUUUGCGGCCAUUUGUUCGCGAAGCUAACACCACAAACAAAACAACCACGCACCGCCACAAUCUUCA
rnacentral:lncRNA from 1 species